ensembl:misc_RNA
GGCUCUGUCCUCUGGACAUGCCGAUGACAGACGCCGGAGACCUUCUCUCGAAGGCGGCCACCUCGCCUGGUCCCCGAGUGUC